UGGGGAAUUUUGGACAAUGGGCGCAAGCCUGAUCCAGCCAUGCCGCGUGUCUGAAGAAGGCCUUCGGGUUGUAAAGGACUUUUGUCAGGGAAGAAAAGGCUGUCGCUAAUACCGACAGCUGAUGACGGUACCUGAAGAAUAAGCACCGGCUAACUACGUGCCAGCAGCCGCGGUAAUACGUAGGGUGCGAGCGCUAAUCGGAAUUACUGGGCGUAAAGCGAGCGCAGACGGUUACUUAAGCAGGAUGUGAAAUCCCCGGGCUCAACCUGGGAGCUGCGUUCUGAACUGGGUGACUAGAGUGUGUCAGAGGGAGGUAGAAUUCCACGUGUAGCAGUGAAAUGCGUAGAGAUGUGGAGGAAUACCGAUGGCGAAGGCAGCCUCCUGGGAUAACACUGACGUUCAUGCUCGAAAGCGUGGGUAGCAAACAGGAUUAGAUACCCUGGUAGUCCACGCCCUAAACGAUGUCAAUUAGCUGUUGGGCAACUUGAUUGCUUAGUAGCGUAGCUAACGCGUGAAAUUGACCGCCUGGGGAGUACGGUCGCAAGAUUA
rnacentral:rRNA from 1 species